UACGGGGGGGGCAAGCGUUGUCCGGAAUUAUUGGGCGUAAAGAGCUCGUAGGCGGUUUGUCGCGUCGGCCGUGAAAACUUGGGGCUUAACCCCAAGCCUGCGGUCGAUACGGGCAGACUUGAGUUCGGCAGGGGAGACUGGAAUUCCUGGUGUAGCGGUGAAAUGCGCAGAUAUCAGGAGGAACACCGGUGGCGAAGGCGGGUCUCUGGGCCGAUACUGACGCUGAGGAGCGAAAGCGUGGGGAGCGAACAGG
rnacentral:rRNA from 1 species